AUUGAACGCUGGCGGCAUGCUUUACACAUGCAAGUCGAACGGCAGCACAGGGAGCUUGCUCCUGGGUGGCGAGUGGCGAACGGGUGAGUAAUGUAUCGCAACGUGCCUGGUAGUGGGGGAUAACUACUCGAAAGAGUGGCUAAUACCGCAUGAGAUCUUUGGAUGAAAGCGGGGGACCUUCGGGCCUCGUGCUACUGGAGCGGCCGAUAUCAGAUUAGGUUGUUGGUGGGGUAAAGGCCUACCAAGCCUGCGAUCUGUAGCUGGUCUGAGAGGACGACCAGCCACACUGGGACUGAGACACGGCCCAGACUCCUACGGGAGGCAGCAGUGGGGAAUUUUGGACAAUGGGCGCAAGCCUGAUCCAGCAAUGCCGCGUGCAGGACGAAGGCCUUCGGGUUGUAAACUGCUUUUGUACAGAACGAAAAGUCUCUGGCUAAUAUCUAGAGAUCAUGACGGUACUGUAAGAAUAAGCACCGGCUAACUACGUG
rnacentral:rRNA from 1 species